UACGUAGGGGGCAAGCGUUGUCCGGAUUUAUUGGGCGUAAAGAGCGUGUAGGCGGUUCGGUAGGUCCGUUGUGAAAACUCGAGGCUCAACCUCGAGACGCCGAUGGAAACCCUCGAACUAGAGUCCGGAAGAGGAGAAUGGAAUUCCUGGUGUAGCGGUGAAAUGCGCAGAUAUCAGGAAGAACACCCGUGGCUAAGGCGGUUCUCUAGUACGGUACUGACGCUGAGACGCGAAAGCGCGGGGAGCGAACAGG
rnacentral:rRNA from 1 species